GCUUCCUUAGCUCAGUCGGUAGAGCGCGAGUCUCAUAGGCGUAUGAGAUCCGAUAGGAUUGUAAUCUCGAGGUCGCAAGUUCGAGCCUUGCAGGGAGCA
rfam:Gymnopus luxurians FD-317 M1 unplaced genomic scaffold GYMLTscaffold_23, whole genome shotgun sequence.